AAAUAUCUUCCAAAUUUAAAACACUACACUAAAAAUCAUCAACCAAAUUCAUAUGAUCUUAUCCAAAUACAAACUCAAAGGUUAAAUAGUAAAAAAAAAUAUCUAAAUAUUAAAUUUUUGACUUUGAGGGCUAACAGGAUCACUUAACACCUCUGAUUCUAAUUUAGAAAUGUCAGGAGACAAAGGAUUAUCAAUUUCAAC
rnacentral:lncRNA from 1 species